rnacentral:rRNA from 1 species
GAUGAACGCUGGCUACAGGCUUAACACAUGCAAGUCGAGGGGAAACGACGGGGAAGCUUGCUUCCCCGGGCGUCGACCGGCGCACGGGUGAGUAACGCGUAUCCAACCUGCCUCUGACUGAGGGAUAACCCGUCGAAAGUCGGCCUAAUACCUCAUGGCAUCGUCUGCGGGCAUCCAACGACGAUUAAAGAUUUCAUCGGUCAGGGAUGGGGAUGCGUCUGAUUAGCUAGUUGGCGGGGUAACGGCCCACCAAGGCGACGAUCAGUAGGGGUUCUGAGAGGCAGGUCCCCCACAUUGGAACUGAGACACGGUCCAAACUCCUACGGGAGGCAGCAGUGAGGAAUAUUGGUCAAUGGGCGAGAGCCUGAACCAGCCAAGUAGCGUGCAGGAUGACGGCCCUAUGGGUUGUAAACUGCUUUUAUGCGGGGAUAAAGUGAGGGACGUGUCCUUCAUUGCAGGUACCGAAUGAAUAAGGACCGGCUAAUUCCGUG